UACAGAGGUGCCGAGCGUUAGGCGGAAUCACUGGGCUUAAAGCGUGUGUAGGCGGAUUUUUAAGUACCUUGUGAAAUCCCACGGCUUAACCGUGGAACUGCUUGGUAUACUGGAAAUCUUGAGCCACUUAGGGGCGAGCGGAACAAAUGGUGGAGCGGUGAAAUGCGUAGAUAUCAUUUGGAACGCCAAAGGUGAAAACAGCUCGCUGGGAGUGUGCUGACGCUGAGACACGAAAGCCAGGGUAGCGAACGGG
rnacentral:rRNA from 1 species